GUCGCGUGUUAGUCCGAUCAGUUUGUAUUCAAGUACCCAACAUGCAUCACGUAUAUUUGGUCAGUGUUGUUAUUUGCAUCAUUUUUGCGCCGUAUGCUUCAUCAUGGGAUUUAUUAGACAAACUUCGUCAGGAACAAAUAAAACGAAAUGAUUUGCGAAAUGCACUUGAUUACCAAAAUGUACAACUUCCUGUUACAAAGCCUCCAGAUAUAUAUAUCAGCCCACAAGUUGCUAGUAAGAUAUUCGCCGUAAUUAUAGCUGUGAUCGCAAAAUGUGUUUACCUCAUCAUAAAAUGCAGAAAAAUAAUUUGUUGUUGCUGCUGUGGAACGGAUCAUAACGAAGACAACGAAGGAAAUACCACUUUUGAUGUAUAAAGCUUCGCUUUAGAUUGUUGAAAACUGGCAAAGGAUUUGAUCACGUUUGGUAUUUCAGUGAUUUAUUGGCCACGAUGAUAUUUGCACUAUUUGCACUAUAUGUUUCGUUAAUAAGAAAAAUACAAACGGCUAUGGUGAUUUAUAAUUACAUUUACAAUCGUAGUGACAGCGUAACUAUGGACAUUUAAGUGUCUUUUCAUAAUACCACCGUUUAUUUUUAUUUUUAUUUUAAAAGAGAUACUUUUAUCUUGACUAUUCCGCAAUUUUAUGUUAUCAAGGUUAAGCAGUUUGUUCUCUAUCAUUCGUUUCCUGUAUUUAAUUUUAUUAUCUUACACGAAUGUUGAUUAGGUGUAUACAUGUUACCAUAGGCGGCCAUAAAUGAUCGGUUCUUUCUCCACUUGCUUAUGAAAACAAAAGAACGAGAAAUGAUUUUAUAAAUGAAUAAUAUGUAAUCAGUAAUAAUUACUAAUAAAAAAAAUCUUGCUUGAA